rnacentral:rRNA from 1 species
GAAAAUUGGUCUAAUACCGUAUGAGGUCAUACGAUGGCAUCAGAAUAUGACGAAAGGUUUAGCGGUGAAGGAUGGGGAUGCGUCUGAUUAGCUUGUUGGUGAGGUAACGGCUCACCAAGGCGACGAUCAGUAGGGGUUCUGAGAGGAAGGUCCCCCACAUUGGAACUGAGACACGGUCCAAACUCCUACGGGAGGCAGCAGUGAGGAAUAUUGGUCAAUGGGCGAGAGCCUGAACCAGCCAAGUAGCGUGCAGGACGACGGCCCUAUGGGUUGUAAACUGCUUUUAUAUGGGGAUAAAGUGAGUUACGUGUAGCUUAUUGCAGGUACCAUAUGAAUAAGGACCGGCUAAUUCCGUGCCAGCAGCCGCGGUAAUACGGAAGGUCCAGGCGUUAUCCGGAUUUAUUGGGUUUAAAGGGAGCGUAGGCCGCCCCUUAAGCGUGUUGUGAAAUGCCGCGGCUCAACCGUGGCACUGCAGCGCGAACUGGGGGGCUUGAGUGCACGCAACGCAGGCGGAAUUCGUGGUGUAGCGGUGAAAUGCUUAGAUAUCACGAAGAACUCCGAUUGCGAAGGCAGCUUGCGGGAGUGCGACUGACGCUGAAGCUCGAAGGUGCGGGUAUCGAACAGGAUUAGAUACCCUGGUAGUCCGCACAG